rnacentral:rRNA from 1 species
UACGUAGGGUGCGAGCGUUAAUCGGAUUUACUGGGCGUAAAGAGCGCGCAGGCGGUCGCUCAAGUCGCGUGUGAAAGCCCCCCGGCUCAACUGGGGAGGGUCACGCGAUACUGAUCGACUGGAAGGCAGGAGAGGGUAGUGGAAUUCCCGGUGUAGUGGUGAAAUGCGUAGAUAUCGGGAGGAACACCAGUGGCGAAGGCGACUACCUGGCCUGUUCUUGACGCUGAGGCGCGAAAGCUAGGGGAGCAAACGGG